rnacentral:rRNA from 1 species
UACGCAGGGGGCUAGCGUUGCUCGUAAUCACUGGGCGUACAGCGCACGUAGGCGGGCUCUUAAGUCGGUGGUGAAAUCCUGGAGCUCAACUCCAGAACUGCCUCCGAUACUGAGAGUCUUCGAGUUCGGGAGAGGUGAGUGGAACUGCGAGUGUAGAGGUGAAAUUCGUAGAUAUUCGCAAGAACACCAGUGGCGAAGGCGGCUCACUGGCCCGAUACUGACGCUGAGGUGCGAAAGCGUGGGGAGCAAACAGG